rnacentral:rRNA from 1 species
AACGAACGCUGGCGGCGUGCCUAACACAUGCAAGUCGAACGAGAAGUUCGGGCUUUGUGGCGCACGUGUGCGUACGGCGUGGGAAGUUGCACUUAGGUUCGGAAUACCUGCCCGAAAGGGAUCCUCAUGCAGCUUAGUGUCUUCGCACCAAGGAUUUCUUGCUUUAGGAUGGGGGCUCGUUAGAUUAGGCAGUUGGUAGGGUAAAAGCCUCCCAAGGCGACGUUGCAUAGCUGGUCUGGGAGGAUGAUCAGCAGCACUGGGGCUGAGACACGGCCCAGACUCCUACGGAAGGCAGCAGUGGGGAACAUUGGACAAUGGGCGAAAGCCUGAUCCAGCAGUGCCGCGGAUGUGAUGAAGGCCGUAGUGAUGUAAAGCUCUUUUACCCGGGAUGAUAAUGACAGUACCGGGAGAAGAAGCUCCGGCUAACUCCGUG